rnacentral:rRNA from 1 species
AGAGUUGAUCAUGGCUCAGGAUGAACGCUAGCUACAGGCUUAACACAUGCAAGUCGUGGGGCAGCAUGGCGGUAGCAAUACCGCUGAUGGCGACCGGCGCACGGGUGAGUAACGCGUAUCCAACCUGGCCCACAGUAGGGGAUAGCCCGGCGAAAGUCGGAUUAAUACCCUAUGUUUUCCCCUGAGAGCAUUUGACGGGGAACAAAGAUUCAUCGCUAUGGGGAUGGGGAUGCGUCCGAUUAGCUUGACGGCGGGGUAACGGCCCACCGUGGCUUCGAUCGGUAGGGGUUCUGAGAGGAAGGUCCCCCACAUUGGAACUGAGACACGGUCCAAACUCCUACGGGAGGCAGCAGUGAGGAAUAUUGGUCAAUGGGCGUAAGCCUGAAAACCCAGCCAAGUAGCGUGCAGGAUGACGGCCCUACGGGUUGUAAACUGCUUUUGCCGGGGAAUAAAGUUCGGGACGCGUCCCGUUUUGUAUGUACCCGGAGAAUAAGGACCGGCUAAUUCCGUGCCAGCCGCCGC